rnacentral:misc_RNA from 1 species
GGAGGAGCGAGUGAGGCGGACGGAGAUUACGACGACCGCCGCGACGGAUCUCCGUCCGCGAGCGGUUACUCCUCCGAAUCAUCGAAAUGGAAACCGUCUCCGGCGGCGUCUCACGGAUCGACAGCGAGGCGAGGAAGACAAGGACUGAGUCGGAACGUUUCUGGUCUCGCGUUUUGCUUGAGUCCACUAGUGAGAGCUAGCCCUAACCACCGUCACUGGAACCAGAAAGGACUGCCACCGGAAUUUGCGUAUACCGGCGAUGUUAGGGUUCCGACCAAGCCUCAUCUCUCCGAAGCGGCGUCGUUUUGCGCGAACCGGUCUCGAAAACUUGCGGAUUUUGGAAGAGUCAAUGCCAACCGUUGAUUUCGAAGACCGUUGACAUCUUAAUUGACGGUGCUGAUUUGAUCUCUUCACACUAAAAAAAAGAAAUUUCAAGAAGUACGGUUUUGCCCCUUCUCCCUCUCUACACCAAUUGUUUAUUAUUACUAUCUUCAGCUCAUUCUGUGUAAAAGUUGAAAAAAAGAAAAAAUUAAAAGAUCAAAAUAGUUUGA